UACCGCAUACGACCUUCGGAUCGCAUGGUCUGAAGAUGAAAGAUGGCCUCUCUUUGAAGCUGUCGUUGAAGGAUGGUUCCGCCUCCAAUUAGCUAGUAGGUGGGGUAAUGGCCUACCAAGGCGACGAUUGGUAGCCGGCCUGAGAGGGUGUCCGGCCACACUGGGACUGAGAUACGGCCCAGACUCCUACGGGAGGCAGCAGUCGAGAAGCUUCCGCAAUGGGGGAAACCCUGACGGAGCGACGCCGCGUGAACGAAGAAGGUCCUAUGGAUUGUAAAGUUCUGUCAGAUUGGGAAGAAAACCUUGGGGUUAAUACCCUCAAGGCUUGACGGUACCAUCAGAGGAAGCACCGGCUAACUCCGUGCCAGCAGCCGCGGUAAUACGGAGGGUGCAAGCGUUGUUCGGAUUCACUGGGUAUAAAGGGUGCGCAGGCGGCUUGAUAAGUCAGAGGUGAAAUAUGUCGGCUCAACCGGCAAACGGCCCCUGAAACUGUCAAGCUUGAGUCCGGGAGAGGUAGGUGGAAUUCCAGGUGUAGCGGUGAAAUGCGUAAAUAUCUGGAGGAACACCGGUGGCGAAGGCGGCCUACUGGCCCGGAACUGACGCUCAGGCACGAAAGCAUGGGGAGCGAACGGGAUUAGAUACCCCGGUAGUCCAUGCCGUAAACGAUGGGUACUAGGUGUUGGAGGAUUCUACCCCUUCAGUGCCGCAGCUAACGCAUUAAGGACCCCACCUGGGGAGUACGAUCGCAAGGUUGAAACUCAAAGGAAUUGACGGGGGCCCGCACAAGCGGUGGAGCAUGUGGUUUAAUUCGAUGCAACGCGAAGAACCUUACCUGGGCUUGACAUGCAGGGGACAGAUGUAGAAAUACAUCCUUCUUCGGACUCCUGUACAGGUGCUGCAUGGCUGUCGUCAGCUCGUGUCGUGAAAUGUUAGGUUAAGUCCUGCAACGAGCGCAACCCCUAUCUUUAGUUGCCAUCAGGUUAUGCUGGGGACUCUAGAGAGACUGCCGGUGACAAACCGGAGGAAGGUGGGGACGACGUCAAGUCAUCAUGGCCCUUACGCCCAGGGCUACACACGUGCUACAAUGGUCGGUACAAUGGGCUGCAAUACAGCGAUGUGGAGCGAAUCCCAAAAAGCCGGCCUCAGUUCGGAUCGUAGUCUGCAACUCGACUACGUGAAGUUGGAAUCGCUAGUAAUCGCGUAUCAGAACGACGCGGUGAAUACGUUCCCGGGCCUUGUACC
rnacentral:rRNA from 1 species